CCUCACUUUUGUGUUUCCAGACUUGGUUGCAGUCUGGGAGCCAGUAGUCCCCGAGUAGCGGAAACUCAACUUUCCUGGGGAACCACAGACUAAGCUCCCUUCCUCCCUCCAGGGGUUAAAGGGGCCUUUGCCCUGGGCUCCCAAUACCAGCCAGCCCCCUUCUCCUGUGGGUGGGGGCUGCUGGGGACCUGACGCAGGCAGAAUGGCGGCUGACGUCAUAGGCUGAUGGUCGCAGGACCCUUGCCUGGCCGCAGCCGUCCCGCUGGGGCCUCGUUAAUUUUCCUUCCCGCACUGGACGCACUGGGCGUAGCAAAGAAAGCGCAGACUGCUCUGGCUGCAGGUCCUAUCCACCUUUUCCCUUGGGAACAUAGCAGGAAAGGAAAGAGAAAGAGAUUCGGUUUUUCAAAGCAUCGAAACUUAACUUCUCACUUUCCUUCCCGUACAAGUGCUGAAUAUUUGAAGAGGAUGACAAACAGAGAGAAAACCACACAUUUUGGAUACCAUAUGAUGCAUAUUCUGGUGACUGAGAAAGGAUGAAGGUAGAGAGAGAAGAAGGAAUGGAGAGAAAAAGGAAGAGCAGAGAAGAGGAAAGAAGAAAGAAUAAAAGAAAGAUCAGGAUUAGACAACGCUAAGUGAAUUAAUUCUAAGUGAGAUGAAACAAUGUGGUAGAUGUAUUUUGGGGGGUUAUCUGAGUUCAAUGGACUAAAGAAUUCCCUUCCAAAUGAUUGAUCUAUAUUAUAAUGAGGGGGUGAAAACAUGAGGCAUACACUUGUGUGACAAUCCUUUCCUAGUCCCAAUUGUUGACUACAACACAGUAGACUAGAACAAGGAGAACGUGUGGGUAUGGAAAGCAGUUUGUGACUCCACUGUUUCCUAAACUCAUUACUGCAUAUGUGAAGGCACAGAACUAUAGUUAUUGAAAUUUAUAAAGAAAGGAAAGAACACAUGUUAUCAUAAGCAGCAAAUUAUAUGUUUUUUUUCACCUCAUUUUUGGGAUAUUGAGACUAAAACAUCUGUUUUGGUUGGUGGGCAUGUGUGACAGAAUUGAGAGCUUUUAUUUGAUAAAGAAUGGUUUAAAUAGCAAUGAAUAUGAAUAUUAAAUUAUGUAGUAUGCAAAAUCAUGUUUUUAAAGUAAUACUAGAAUUGUCCCAACGUUUGUAUCUUUUUAUUAAAAACUUGGAUAUAUAUCCAUUAUGGAGCAUAUCGUGGUAUUUUGAAAUUUUAAAAAAUGCUGAAAUACUGUCUUAUUUUAUAGUGUGAGAAAGUUCAGUAUUUAAAUCAACAUUAGCAUACUACAAAGAAUAGAGUUCUAUUUAAGCAAUUCAAGUUAAAAGUUGUUUCUUUUUUUUUUUUUUUUUUUUCGAGACAGGGUUUCUCUGUAUACCUGGCUGUCUUGGAACUCACUUUGUAGACCAGGCUGGCCUCGAACUCAGAAAUCUGCCUGCUUCUGCCUCCCGAGUGCUGGGAUUAAAGGCGUGCAUCACCACACCCGGCUCUAAAAGUUGUUUCUUGAAAUGAAAGAGCAUGGAUAGAAAAUAGAAUACAGUUUCUAGGCAUAAAUGAUACUGGCAUGAGAGAUUCUUUGGAGACUCAAUUGUGUCAUGUGAUGUUUUUCUGUCUUAUGAGAGGAUGUUUUUGCUGAAGCAGAUGUGUGGGAGGAUGUUUUGCUAAUAACAGACACAUGGUGUUUUAUUGGGAGGCAGCUUGGGAAAAGGGUAUGUAAUGUUUUGCUAUAGCGGAUGCUUGAGAGAAGACGUGCUGUUUAGAAAGGAUAUAAAUAUAGCUCAACAAACAGUGAAUGAUGCUGGAUGGUAUUGGUUCAUCUUGCCAUUCAUUGCUGGUCAUCAUUGGGCUUUGCUGACACUGGUCUUUGCUGAUGAUGCUAGGUGAUAUUGGUAUGCUUUACCAUUCCUUGUUGGUCAUUGUUUGUCUAAAUUCAUAGAGAGAAAUGCACCGAAAAAUUUCUGGUGGUGUUUUUGCCCACUUCUGUGGACUCUGGCCAACUGGCAAAGCCUUGUGAUUUCUUCUGGAUCAACCUGCCAUUGCUGGUUCAUGAAUGGUGUUUAUGAGAGGAUCCAGCUGCCUCUGCUGAUUUGUGUGAACUGAACCGCUGAUAUCCUGACAAAGCAGACUGGAUUUUCUCCAAAGAACUAUUUCUAAACACGUUUAUAGUCCACAUCCUCCUUUGCUCUAUUAACCUUUCCUUUCCACUACCUCUGGUGGGUGGUGGCCUAGAAGGGAUGUUGAAGGACUUAAGAACCCUUAUUAAAAGUAGGCUUCAAAAAAAUCUAAGCCUACAGAGAGAUCACAUGGCUUGUAGUUUCUUAUCUGCUCCAUUGAAACUCCUGCUUUCUUGUCAGAUAGCAUUCUGUCAUUAUUCGUGGUCCUUGCCUCACUUACUGUCAUUUGUGACUCCCUUAUCUUUGUCCUGCUCAUGACUAACAUCAAACAUUACACUGAGAUACAUACAGAUCGAAUAAAAAAUAUGGCAUUGUAACAAUUAAUUUCCCUAUUUAAUAAAUAUUUACUAAAAUUCAUAGAAGAUUAAACAUUGAAUAAAAUAAGCAAAAAUUCUUACUAAUAUGGCAAUUAUACUCUAGGGGAACAGAAAUAAAACCAAGUUACAUGUAACAUCAUAACACUUGGAAAAUCAUGAAAUCGAUUGUAGAGCGUUGACUUGAAACUGAAGAGGAAAUAAACAGGAAGUUCUAGGGCAGCAUUUCUCAACCUGUGGGUGACAACUUUUUUGAUGUUCAAAGGAACCUUUCACAGGUGUCAUCUAAGAAUAUUGGAAAACACGGAUAUUUACAUUGUGAUUCACACAGUAGCAAAAUUAGUUAUGACAUCGCAAUGAAAAUAAUUUUAUGGUUGGGGUCACCACAAAAGGAACUGUAUUAAAGUGUCAUGCCAUUAGGAAGGUUGAGAGGCACUGCUCUAGGGGAAGCCCAGUGUAAUGGGAACAUUUGAGCUAAGAUUUGUAAGAGGUUAUUUAGAGAAAGAACUUUAUACACAGAGACAUCCAAACGUUGUGUGAAUCUCAAGAAGAAUGAGCAAGGGGCAGGGCAAGUCAGAAUACUUGAGGGAUACUUGGGCAGUCUGGAAAUAGUUUGGUUAUGGAUAUGAAAAGUGCUACACAGUUUCCUGUGCUGGAUCCUUUUUUCCCCAGCUAACAGUACUAUUCUGGGAGAUGACAUUAUGAAGUGGUACAUUGAUGGAGAAAGUAGGUUACUUGGGAGCAUGCCUUUGACAAGUAGAGCUGGUCUCUGGUUUCUUUCCCAAUGCAUUUAGGCUAGUAUGAAGUGAGUAACUUCUGUCCCAUGCUUUUACCACCAUGAUGUUAUACAUCAUCACAGGCACAGAAUCAGUGGAACAAGGAACAAAUCAUGAGUUGUUUAUGACUGGCGUUUUUUUUUUUUUUUUCCAAAACAAUGAAACAAAGUGGAAGAGUGUUAGACAAGUGAUCAUUUGGGUUCUUGUUUGAUUUUUUUUAAAAACAAAAUCUCAAUCAUUCAAUUUUCUCAGUGAAGACCUGGGAGCCAAAUGCUGGGGUGAAAGCCUGCUAGCUGAGUGGGGCAGAGAAAACACCCAGUUGACUUUCCUCCUCAUCUGAUGUCCCAGAAGUAAUGCUGCUCUCUCAUACAUCUCAAAAAACCUCCUUCAAACUGAAUGUCCCACCCUUCUAUUUUCUUUGCUUCUCUCUAUCCAUUUUCCUGAGUCCCCCUUACUCUCUCUGUUUUUUUUUCUUAAUAAUUCUGUAUUUACUUUCUGUCAACUGGUUGCUUGCUCUGCCUCUUGACUUACAUUUGAAUUUAUUUAAUCCUGUUUACAGAAACUUUUCGGAUUAAAGGUGUGUGCAAAGGCUGAGCCACAAGACAACUAAAAACAGUUUUUUCCCCCAGUAAAUAACACAAUCUUGGGGUUUACAGUAUGGUCAAAUAUCCUGCAACACUUGUUAAAAAUGUAAGAACUUAGGGCUUCAUUCAUAGUGAGGCAGGAGAUACCACAGGGGUUAGUAUUCUGUCUAAGCUCUGCCCCACAGUUACCUGGCAACAGCUAAGUAUGCAUGUCUCUCUCUCUCUCUCUCUCUCUCUCUCUCUCUCUCUCUCUCUCUCUCUCUCUCUCUCUCCCUCCCUCUUUGUAUUUCUCUGCCCCUACUACCUUCUUGACUCCCCUCCCCAUGUGGCUGGUCCUUCAGGGGGAAGGGAUGCCUCAGCAUGAGCCCACCAAGCCACCCUGUGCCCCCAUACCUCACCACACCUCCAUAGAACAUAUCCCCCCUCUCUUUAUCUUUUUAUAAUCACAUCAACAAGUGUUUGAGCAAAGCAAUCUUAGUUGUCAUAUUUCUUCUUUUUUCCAAGCUUAUAUCAAGACUUUAUUCUUGAUUUACUAGGUAAAAGUUUGGGAUAAUUAUCCUUCUAUGAGAUAAGGGAUAACAGGCAAGUGUUAUUCUCUACUCUUUGGCUAGUUGUGGGGUUUUGGGUUAAUUAUCAUCUUUUGAAAAUAGAAGCUUCUCUCUCUUCUAUUAGAUUCAGUGUAUCUGGUUUUAUUUAAAUCCUUUUUAUGGUUUUACAGUCAUUUGGCUUUUUUUUUUUUUUUUUUUUUCAUCACUAUUGCUCUGUAGUAGAGUUUGAGGUCAGGGAUGGUGAUUGCCCCAGAAGUUCUCUUAUUGUUGAGAAUAGUUUUUGCUAUCCUGGAUUUUUUGUUGUUCUAAAUGAAUUUAAGAAUUACUCUUUCUAUCUCUGUGAAAAAUUGAGUUGGGAUUUUGAUUAGGAUUGCAUUGUAUCUGUAGAUUGCCUUUGUUAAGAUAGGCAUUUUUACUAUGUUAAUCUUGCCAAUCCAUGAGCAUAGAAGAUCUUUCCAUCUUCUGGGAUCUUCUCCAAUUUCUUUCUUCAGACUAAAUCACCAACCAAAGAAUAUACAUGGAGGGAGACAUGGUUCCAGUUGCAUAUGUAGCAAAGGAUGACCUUGUCUGGCAUCAAAGGGAAGGCAGGCCCUUGGUCCUGUGAAAACUUGGUGUCCCAGCAUAGAGGAAUGCUAGUGCGGUGGAAUGGCAUGGGAGUGGGCAGGUGUGUGGGGGAGCACCCUCAUGGAGGCAGGGGGAGGAGGGUGUGAUGGGACGUUUUCAGAGAGGAAACCGGGAAGGGGGAUAACUUUUGAAAUGUAAGUAAACAUAAUAACCAAUAAAAAAUUUAAAAUAACAGAAAAAGAAAAUAGAAGCUUCUUUAUUGAGUGUUGAGUGAUGUGUUAUUCUAUGUAUAUAACAAUAAGUUGUUAGAAGUUAGUUUUAUAUUAUAUCCUUUUAUUAGAAUAAUAGUUGUAAGUUUUUUCCCAAGGGCCUAUGACCUGUCGAACCAUGAGUUCUUGGUCCAGCAAUGUUUUAGGGCAGGGCUUAAAUCCAAUUAAAAAUGAUUGCUUACUUCUAUAAUAUUCAAGUCACUAUUGUACUAGUUGGACUGUCUUGCCAGGCUAUCAGUCAUGUAGCUCACAGAGUUCACAGCUGGUUAAGACUGAUAAUUAUUGUUUCCCUUCCAGUAGUGUGCAUAGCACCUUCCAGAAUCACAAAAGCUAGCCAGUAGGAAUGAAGCAUCAGGUUAGUGCCAGCCUAAUGUUUCCAUGUUCUAUGACUCAAACACAUAGUAUCUUAAGCAAUAGCAUCUUGUCAUCAUGUUUGGAAGGUAACCAAGAUCUCUGGCAAUUAUCUCUAUGUUUGAAAGUCUAUAGAACCCACAGGACAACAACUCCAAAAAGGAACAUCCAUUCUUGAUUCUGAGACUUUUAUUUGUCACCCUGUCGAGUCUAGUAGAAGCUUUCUCUCUCUCUCUCUCUCUCUCUCUCUCUCUCUCUCUCUCUCUCUCUCUCUCUUUCUCUCUCUUUAUAUAUAUAUAUGUGUGUGUGUGUGUAUACAUAUGUAUGGAAUAUAUAUAUGUGAAUGAAAGUUAUAUAUACAUGCAUAUGGAAUAUAUAUGUAUAUAUUUAUAUAGUGCGUGUACUUUCCGUUUUGUGAGGAAUAACCACACUGAUUUACAAAGUGUUUGUUCUAAUUUGCACUUCCACAAGCAGUGAGUAAGUGCUCCACUUUCCCCAUAUAUAUGUCAAAAUUUGUUGUUUUUAAUUUGAUUUUAGAUAUUCUGACUAGCUUAGGAUUGAAUCUCAAAGUAGUUUUAAUUUGCAUUUACAUAAUGAUUGAAGAUGUUGAACAUUAAAACAUGUUUUUAGUCAUUUAUAUUUAUUCUUUUGAGAAUUCUAUUUAGUUCCAUUCUUCAUUAAUUUAAAAAAAUAUUGAUGCUCAAUUUGUUUUGUUCUGUGUAUAUUAUAGACACUCACUAACCUUCUGUCAUAUGUGCAGCUGGUGAAGAUUUUUGUCUCAGUAUGUAUGCUGUCUCUUCACUCAAGAGAUGGUGUCCUUUGAAACAGAGAAAAUUUUAUGUUAAUGAAGUUUCACUUAUCAGUUGUGGGUCUUAAUGCCUGCACUACUGGCAUCACAUUAAAAAAGUCCUUUUCUGUGACAAUGAGUUCAAGCAUAUUCUCUGUUUUCUUUUCUAUUGGUUUCAAUGUGUCAGGUCUAUAUUUUUUAUCUAUUUUUAAAGUUAGCUAUGGAUUUCAUUAUUUCUUAUCAUCAACUGAGUUUGUAGUUUCCUCCCAAACUUUUGAGUAUCAUCAUUAAGUAAUUUAUUUGUACUCUUUUUUGUAGAUAGUUAGAACCAUGAAUUUCUCUUAUAGGAAUAUUUAAUAUUUCCCAAAGGUUUUGUUUUGUUUUCAUUUUCAUUUAGUUCUAAGAAUUUUUUUUUUAGUUUCCUCUUUGAUCCAUUUAUCACGAAGUAAUGAAUUUCUUAAUAUUCAUGAAUCCGUGUACGUACUAGAGAUUUGCUUGCUGUCAAUUUCGGUUUUAAAUUGUAUUAUAGUGAGAUUGGAUAGUCAGACUAUUUAUAUCUUCUUGAACUUGUAAAGAUUUCCAGGAUGUGGUUUAUUUUUGAGACGUUCCAAUGUGCUGCUUCGUAGAAUUUGUUUGUUUGCUUGAUUUUGUGUAUUUGUAUGGUGUCUUAGUCAGGGUUUGUAUUCCUGUAAAAACCUUUAUGACCAAGAAGCAAGUUGUGGGAGGAAAGGGUUUAUUCAGCUUUCACUUCCACAUUGCUGUUCAUCCCCAAAGGAAGUCAGGACUAGAACUUAAGCAGGCCAGGAAACAGGGGCUAAUUCAGAGGCUAUGGAGUGAUGUUCUUUACUGGCUUGCUUCCCAUCACUCACUCAGCUUGGUUUCUUAUAGAACUCAAGACUACCAGUCCAGGGAUGGCACCACCCACAAUGCCCCCCCCCCCCCUGAUUACUAAUUGAGAAAAUGCCUUGCAGCUGGAUCUCAUGAAAGUAUUUCCUCAAGGGAGGCUUCUUCGUUGUGAUAAAUCCAGCUUUCUUCAAGUUGACACACAAAACCAGCAAGAAGAUAUUUGGAAAGUACAAUUUCUUGAGUUAUUCAGCUAUCUUGUGUCUUUUUUUUUUUUUUUUUUUUAUUGGAGAUUGAGGCUGUUAACAUUUAAAGUUAUUUUAAAGUGUGUUGAUUGCAGUCAUUGUGUUGUUGAUUUUUGGUGGUGGUGUUGAUGUUUUCAGUGACUGUGUUUCAGUUAUUAUAGCUUUGUAUUUCUACAGUCACUUGGCUAUGCUCAUUUUUCUCCAGCCCAAAAUAUUGCCUCCUAUAUUUUCUUACAGUUAGCAUAUGAUUUAUUUUUUGAGGCAGCGCUUUCCUGUGUAGACCAGGCUGGCCUUGAACUCAGAGACAUGCCUGUCUCUGAUUCUCAAGUGCUAGCAUUAAAGGCAUGUACCACCAUGCCCAGAGGACAAAAACAUUUUUUAGGCAGUUCCUAUCAUUUGAUUAUUUUUAUUUCAUUUUUUUAAAAAAAAAAUCAUGACAGAUAGUUUUGCUGGGUAUAUUAUUCUAGGUUAAAUGUCAUGGUCAUCUCCAGCCUCUUCUUGCUUUCAACAUUUUCACAGUUAUCCUGAAGUUUUUUUUUUAUGUACUUUAUGAUUUUUUUCUCUUGUAUCCUUCAUUAGAACAGAUUUGGUCUAGAGGUUGGAUAUGGCUUAGAUAGAAUGAAGGGUGAUCAACAUACCCUCAUUCAAACCUGAAAUUGGGGAUAGAUCUAGGAGUUGUGGGGAGGGGAGAAUAAAUCAGACUCACCAGUCUAAACUCUGGAGAAAGAUAUGCAGGAAUUGGUUGGGUAGGUUUUUCAAUUCUGAUAACAAAUUUUUUUCUAUGUCAUAUAUAUAUAUUUUACUUGAGUCUUUUGUUUUUCUUUUCUCUAUGUAUUGAUAAAUUCUAUUUCAAUUUUCUUACCUUAUUCUUUCUUAGCACUAAUCCGAGUUAAGCUUUAUAACUGCAUGUCCUUGGCAUGGAUUAACAAUAAAGACUAGAGUAAUUUAUUUGGAAUCCAACUACAUUGUUAAAUAUAUUGUUUUUGAAUAUGCAUCUCUCAUGUUCAAUAAGAAUAUGUAAAAAAUUUCUAGACAUGACAACCUUAACCUUUCAGAUUUCUAUAUAUGAAUGCAUUAAAAUAUAAAUUUAAAUAUGGUAUAUGAUACAGAUUCUUGUUUACUUAAAAUAUUGAUUAGAAAUAUGUUUUAAAAUUAGUAAUAAAUUAGGAGAUUUUGGUUCAAGUUUUUGUUUAAUAUAUAUUUAAUUUCUUUUGGAUAAAUAUACAGCAGAAUUGUUAGUUGGUGUAGUAAAUAUAGAUUUAAUUUUGCAGUAACUACAAAACCUGUGUCUUUUAAAUUUAUUCUUAUUUUAUUGUAAGUCUGGGCUUUUAAAUUGAGACACGAGUCACAGAAAAUUCCUUGUCAUAAUUUGCUUAUUUUCUCAUUUUAAAAAUGUUUUAUUUAAUUGUGCUAAGAAUGCUGAGGUGUAGCUCUCCACAAUUGAUGGUUUCUAGCUGGGGUGAGGGGUGGUUGUGCAGAUGGAGAAGGACUCAGUUUUCUUUAAGAGGCUGGUCAUUUGAAUUCGACCAUGCUCCAGUGAGUAUAUGAGCAACACAAACUGUUCCCCUUCCCCUUCCCCUCCCCCUCCCCCUCUCCUUCCCUUUCCCCCUCCCCCUCCUUCAUUUUUUUUUUUUUUUUGAUGGUUGAGGUCACAGGUAUGUGUGUGUGUGUGUGUGUGUGUGUGUGUGUGUGUGUGUGUGUGUGUACUGUGGAUAGCCCUGGGAUUGCUUGUAUAUUGAUGCUAAUUCUGCUCUCCCGGAAGGGGUUAUGAAUGAAAAAUGAGUUAGGUACUCAGGUGACUUCUUGUGAACCAUCCCCUAAUGAAUAAAGGAGCCAAUCACUGGGCGAGUAGACCGGACGUCCAGGUUAGAUAGAGGAAGAGUGGAAGCAGGAGGGGCAAAGGGCCCUUUUUGGACAGGGAUAGUGUGAGGACAAGCUACGAGUGUCUUCCAGUUUCAGUGGUGGAUCCAUCAGGAUUCACCACAGGAGGAUUUAGGUUUAAUAAGGCUUACAAGAUUAGAAUUUUGGUUGUUGGGUCCAGAGAUUGAGUUACCGUUGUUUCUGAACUAAGUUUGUGUUGUGUUUUCUUUCAUGGGGGAUUUGAAGCACGGGGUUGGGGUUGGUGUGGUAAGGAGCCGGCAGUGGGAACCCAGAGAGCUGGCUGGAGAAAUUGUGGAGUUCUAAGUCAGAGUUUUCAAGAGAUAAAGCAGGUCGACUAUUGCCUGCCAGUACAUGGCUGGCCAGGCUGCCAGGGCACAGCCACAAGCACAGUAAUGUUCCGUUUUUUUGUUUUUGUUUUUUUAUUUAAAUAUAUAUUUCCCACAACAGGGGUGAGUCUGGGAGGACUUGGAAGUAAAUGUGUUCAUAGUGCUUAAUGUGAAAUUCCCAAAUAAUCAAUAAAAAUAUUAUGUUGUAAUAACGUUUUUAUUUGUUAUUCAAGAAUUGUAUACAAUAUAUUCUGGUCAUAUUUAUUUCCUCUGCCUCAAUGCUUCCCAGAACCUCCACUACUUUUUUACACACCCAACUUAACAUUCAUUCUAUUUUUAAAAUCCACUCCCAUCACACACACACACACACACACACACACACACACACACACACACACACACACAGAGUCUAAAUGAAAAACAACCCCUCCCUACAAACAAACAAACAAACAAACAAAAAACCCAAAAACCAUGGACUCUGACUGGUGUUGACUAUCUGGUCCUGGGAAUGGUAACUUUCUUGGAGUGUGGUUCAUAUACCCAGUGUGACUUCAUUGAGGGAAACUAAUUUUCAGCCACCUAUUGUGAAUUGUUUCUUGGCUUGGGGUGGACCUUUGUGCUAUUUCCCUUAUUCCAUGUUAAGACUGUUGUCUGGCUUGAGCUUGUGCUGGUCCUGUGCUUGCUUGCAUAGUGUCUGUGAGUUUAUCUGUGCCUACUGUUUUUGUAAAGUACUGGUUUUUUAUAGCUAUCCUUCAUCUUUCUGGGUCCUCCUCAGCAUAGCUCUUUGAACUUUGAGGGGAGUUGUGUGAUAAAGACAUCACAUUUAGGGAUGAGCACUCCAAAUCUCUCCUUUGCAAAUUGUCCCAUUGUGGGUCUCUGUUAAUUACAAUUUCCUGAAAGAAAUAGCUUCUAUGAUGAGGGAUCCACUGGUCGGUAGGCAUAAACAAAAUGUCAUUAGGAGUUGUUUUAUUUCUAUAUUCAUUUAGUCAAAUAAUAGCAGUAGACUUUCCCUUAGGGUCCAUAGUCUAUUUAGUCUCAGGACCUUAGCCUCAGUAACAGUGUCUGGCAUGGGUUCCAAUAUAAUCAAAAUAUAUUGUAUGCAAAAUAUAAUGUAUGGCUUAAAUAAAAAAAAAAGUUGUUUGUCACUCCCAUAAUGUUUGUGGCAUUAUAAUACUGGUGGGCAUAUACCACCAGACAGAUCAUUAUCAUAGCUUGCAGCAUUUUGAGCUUGGUGAGAUUAAUGCUUAAGUUUCUUUACUGACAGCAUGCAUAGCAUGUUCCAACACUAUAAGUGCUAGCCACUGGAGACCAAGCUUCCCGUUGAUUGCCAGCUAGAUUUCUCUAUAUUCUGUGCCAUAAGUAUGCAUUGCCUCAGCAACAGGGUUAAUUUCUAAUCAGAGGUGCAAGAGAAUGUGUACCAAAUGUCCUUGAAUGAUAUAUAUUUAUUUUAGUUUUUAUUUAUUAUUAUUUUGAAAUCUUUUCUAUCAUUGUAGUUUAUUUAUUCACUUAUUUUAAAUUUAAAUUUAAAAUUGUAUGAAUGAGGAUGUUUUGUCUAUCUAUGUCUGUGUACCACGUGACUAUCUUGUGCCUAAGGAGGCCAGAAGAAUAUGUUAGAUCUCUUUGGGCUGGAAUUAAAGAUGGUCAUUGAGCCAUUGUAUAGGUGCUGGGAAUUGAAUCAGGGCCCACUGAAAUAUCAAGCAGUAUUCUUGACCACUGAACCUUCUCUUUGAAGAAAUUCUUUAAAAAUAUAUAACAUAUAUUUGGUUGAAAGAAAGAGAUUUUUCCUGGUAAUUGAUGAAAAAAUUUACAACCUAAAUGUACCUAUAAAUGUUGUCUGUCUGGUAUAGGCAUUGGUUAAAAUUUAGAAACUCAUUAGUACUUUGGUCCCUCAUGGCAAUGCCAGAGUUCAGGAAACUUAGGUUAGAGGGUCAAAAAUGAGUUGGUAGAGUGAUAUUCUAUUUUACAAGCUAUUAGAGUGGUUGGGGGUUGGAAUAGUGCAUAAGUGUAUGGCAAGUGCUUGCAGAUACAUGUAUGCUGCACAUAUACACACAUAUAUACCCACUAUACUUUGUUUUUUCAUGCACUUUUUGAAAAGUAAGAAUUAGACACAGUACUGGUGUACAUUUGGGAAACAGAGAGAGAUGGAUCUCUAUCUCUGUCAGUACAAGGUCAGCGUAGUCUACAUAGUGAGAGUUUCAAGAGUAUGUAGGCUAUGCAGAGAAACCCUGACCAAAAAGAAAAAAAAAAAAGGAAAAAAGAAAAGGAAUUAGACAUUUUCAAAAAGUUGGAGAAAAUCUAACAUUGACCAAAAAUAUGAUAACUACUAACUUUAGCAACAGCAAGCACAAAUCUUCAUUGAACACAUGAUUAGGAAGUAUGAAGGCAUAAAGGCAUUAACACAUAAAUGUGGAGCCAGAAAUAUAAUGUACUUAAAAAUUGAAAAUGAUUGGGCAAUAAAAUAGAGAUAUAACUUAUCUUGAUGGACAGAUUAAAAUGAUGCUAUGAAUGGAUUAGUAGUGAACUGAAGAAGUGAGAUUUGAAGCAAAAUUUCUGUUUCCUAUCGCUUUGUGUAAUAGCUUCAUGUACAUGCAUGUGAAUUUGUGUAUGCACACAUGUUUUUAUGUGUAUCAGCUUGUAUCUUACUGCAAUAUAAGAAGUAGGCAUUUAUAUCCUACAUUGUUAUAGAAUUCCAUAGUAGGAUUAACUAAGAAUAAGCUUUAAACUCUUUAAAGUUUUUUUUUUUUUUUUUUAAUUAUCUGGUGGUCAUAGAACGAUGUCUGUUUGGGUAGCUAUGCUCUCUUGUGAUCCUGCCAUUUUACUUUCCUAGUGAUUUGAAUCAGAUACUGUAGUCUUCAAUCACUCAGGCACCAUUCUUAGUCAUGGACUGUGUCACAGCCCGUCAACUUCAAGAGAUGGUUGAAGUGGAAAUUUCUGGUUUCUUUGGAGACUCAGUUCUGUCACGUGAUGUUUUUCUGGAAGCUGUCUUAUGAGAGGAUGUUUUGACGACGCAGGCAUGUGAGAGGGCGCUUUGCUGAUCACAGACAUGUGGUGCUUUUCUAGAAGCUGUCUUGUGAAAGCGCAUGUGACGUUUUGCUGGAACAGAUGCUUGAGAGGACACGUGAUGCUUGGGAAAGGUAGAAGAUUAACCCAACAGACAGUUGCUCUGGCACUGUGUUGCUUCUCUGGGCUCUGCUGAGCUGGUCUUUACUGAUGAUGCUGUGGCAUUGGUUCACCUUGCCUUCUUCACAGAUCAUUGUUUACAGAGAGAAAUGGACCAAACAACUUCUCAUGAUAGUCCAGUUGCUUCCUAUUACUUUUGUGGACAUAGGCUGACUAUCAGAGCCUUCAGGAUUCUGCCAGAUGGAACCGCCAUUGUUGGUUUGUGAAUAAUGGCUGUGAGUGGAUGGAGCUACCACUGCGGAUUUGUGUGAACUGAGCUGCUGAUAUCCUGACAACAAAGACUGCAAUCACCUCUCCCCCCCACCCCCCAAAAAAAACCAAACAAACCCUAUUCCUAAACAGGCCCACAUCCCUUUUUGCCUAUUAACCUUUCCUUUUCUUUACCACUGGUGGAGAGUACACUGGUGGUGGCUAGAAGGGAGGUUAAAGCAUUUAAGAAAUCUUAUUAAAGUAGGUUUUGAAAAAUACAAGCCUGCAGAUGGCAUAGAUUUUUCCUACUAUCCCCAUAGAUAUGUAAAGAAAAUACAAUAUUUUAACUCUUCAAAUAUUGACCAUGUGAAAAACCAGAAAGACUUGGGCCGACCUGCUUGCAUGUGUGUACAUAUAUAAUUGUAUAUACUCUUUGUCUACUUAUUUAUUACUGAAAGAGGAGAGAAUGGGUGUGAUAUUCAAACAAUACCAUACUAUGAAAUAGAAAACAAGGGUUUUCCUGGGACCCAGGCUUCCACUCAUUUCUCCUAAAGGCCACCACAAGUAACAUUUUCUAAUAUUAUCCUUCUUUAAAUCUUCUAUUUAAAACAAUAUUAUACUUGUUUUAUAUAUUAUAUCCUAUUAAAUGGCACAGGUAUAUUUGGCCUGUUUUCACUUAAAUGUAUUUUCCUUAACAACACAUAAAGAAACAUUUUCAAUGCUGUAGUUCACUGUGUUAUGUUUUUUUAAUAUAGUUGUAUUUAUAUUUAUUUAUUAACAAGAUUAUAUUUAUUUGGUUUCAGCUUUCAACUAUAUUAUUUUUAGCUGACAAGUGAAAAUUGUAUAUGUUAAUGGUACACACAAAGUGCUUUAUAUACAUAUUGUGCUAUGAUCUAAUCAAUCUAAUUAAUGUAUUUAUAAUCUCUAAUACUUAUCUAUAGUUUUAAGAACAGUCACAAUCUAGUUGUUUAAAAUUUUUCUAAUCAAUGUACAUAACUUUAUCAAGCUCAUCUCCUAUACUGGAAUCCUCAAUUAUUAUAAGUUAAAAUCAUUUUUGUUAUUAAAAAUAGUAUUCUGGUGAUCACUUCCAGAAAUGUAAGAUUAUAAUUACUAAUCAUUAGAGACACCCCUACUGUGGACUGCUAUUUCUAAGCAUCCAAAUUUUCAUAGCUAUUGUCUUUCCAUGAUGUUUCAUCAACUUAAUCUCCCACAAUUAAUGUUUCAAAGUGCCUGGUUUCAUAUUAUAUGUUAUCAAAAUUUUAAUAUUUGCAGUCAAAAUUAUUUCUCUCAAUAAACCGGAAGGAAGCAACCUUCCUUCCUGUUUCCAUUCUUCAACUAUCUCUAAUUUUCUGAGUCUUAAUUCUCUUUCUGAGAAUAAGACAUGGGAGCUUGUAAUAUGUUAAGGUUAGCCAUAGAUUCCAAAUGCUGACUGCAUAGUCCCUCCUUGUAAGAAGGAAAGAGGUACUUCUCUGAGCUUGCUUUCAAUUUCCAUGCUUCAAUCCCUCUUUGCUUUAACUCUGCCCACAUGCUGGUAUGUGGCAGUGUUAAUUGGGUCCUCUGCUUUUGGAAUCUCAUGUAGAAUGUUCAUCCAACUCAUUUACCACAAAAUUAAAAAAAAAUGAAGAGAGUGAACACAGCCAUUAGAGUUGUUGUGAAUAAUUUGAGCUAAAUGUAAAUGUAGAAAGAAAACAGGAAAACUACUAUUAAGUACACCUUGCCCUCCACAAUAGAAUGUAAUACAUUUUUACAAGGUUAAUUAUUCCCACCAUCUAUCUGUCUAUUUAAAAGCUGUGCAAUUGAAAUAUGAAUAUGUCAGGUAUUUAAAUACUAACUUGCUUAAAGAUGUACUUUAUUAAAAUAGCAUUAUGCAUAUUUUAAAGUUAAAAUUCUGUGCUCUGUAGAUAGAGAGGUAAAACUCCCAUUUCUUGUCCACUGAAUGUGAGGGAAAUUGGAUUUGUCAGGAAGCUGAUUGAUACCUCGAAGUGUUGUGUUUUCAGUGACUGGCACUGCCGAGUUACAACCAUCUAUCAUCUAACAGGUAAUUAGUCAGAUUUCUCAUCAUGAGCCUUCAAUCCUGCUGUUUUAUUAUUGAAAUACCACAAGCCAGUAGGCAAUUUGAAUGCAGAUAAAGUUCUCUGUCAUGGUCUUAAGGACAAAGACAACAUUUUGCAAUUUAGGAAUACUGAGUUUGAAUAAAAUUCACUGAAAUGUAAGUUUGGGUCUUAUGAAAAUAAAUACGAACAAUUUAAUUUGAUUCCUCUUUUUUUGUUUUCUUCACAGAGAAACUGGCUGUUGAUAAAAGCACCUAGUGUUCUAACAUACACUUGUCUUAUAACGUUUUACAAGUAGAAUGUUAAGUGACAAUUGCAGACUAUAUGAAGAAUAAAGUUAGAUAAAAUAAAUAAACUUGCUGGCCUUAGAUAACUUUUAUCCAUUUUCUAAGGUAUUUUGAGAUGGUGGCAAAAGUAAUUUGUAAUUUACAAUGGUUAACAAUAUACAAUAAUGUAAAAACUUCACAGUUCAGAGAAUUGUUUUCUAAUAAGAAGUUCAGAUAUUAAAAUAAUUGAAAACUUUAA